rnacentral:rRNA from 1 species
GAUGAACGCUGGCGGCGUGCCUAAUACAUGCAAGUCGAGCGAACGGACGAGAAGCUUGCUUUUCUGAUGUUAGCGGCGGACGGGUGAGUAACACGUGGAUAACCUACCUAUAAGACUGGGAUAACUUCGGGAAACCGGAGCUAAUACCGGAUAAUAUUUUGAACCGCAUGGUUCAAAAGUGAAAGACGGUCUUGCCGUCACUUAUAGAUGGAUCCGCGCUGCAUUAGCUAGUUGGUAAGGUAACGGCUUACCAAGGCAACGAUGCAUAGCCGACCUGAGAGGGUGAUCGGCCACACUGGAACUGAGACACGGUCCGGACUCCUACGGGAGGCAGCAGUAGGGAAUCUUCCGCAAUGGGCGAAAGCCUGACGGAGCAACGCCUCGUGAGUGAUGAAGGUCUUCGGAUCGUAAAACUCUGUUAUUAGGGAAGAACAUAUGUGUAAGUAACUGUGCACAUCUUGACGGUACCUAAUCAGAAAGCCACGGCUAACUACGUG